UAACCAAUAUUGGUUUAGGAUGUUUGCUCGCUGUAAAAUAAAAUUUAAUAACAACUAGGUGAAUACGAACACAAACUAACUAAGGUUUAGUAAAAGUUAUAGAAUUCAAGGAUCCAAUAAGUAUAACUCUCUUAUUAUUAACUUGAGAAACUAACUCAAAACUCAAGUUUUAAUCCCCAAAUUCUAUUAAGGUAUUUCACACAAACGACAUCUACUUAUAUAGAGCUUGUGCUUAUCCUAAUCCU
rnacentral:lncRNA from 1 species